AUACGGAGGGUGCAAUCGUUGUUCGGAAUCACUGGGCGUAAAGGGCGCGCAGGCGGUUUGGUAAGUCAGAUGUGAAAGCCCAUGGCUCAACCAUGGAAGUGCAUUUGAAACUGUCAGACUUGAGUACUAGAGGGGAAAGUGGAAUUCCCGGUGUAGAGGUGAAAUUCGUAGAUAUCGGGAGGAAUACCGGUGGCGAAGGCGACUUUCUGGCUAGAUGCUGACGCUGAGGCGCGAAAGCGUGGGGAGCAAACAGGAUUAGAAACCCUGGUAGUCC
rnacentral:rRNA from 1 species